GUCUAUGGCCACACCAGUCUGAAUGUGCCCUAUCUUGUCUAAUCUCGGAAAGUAAGCAGGGUCAGGCCUGGUUAGUACUUGGAUGGGAGACUUAAUGCUCAUCUUGGCUUCCAAUC
rnacentral:rRNA from 1 species